AAAUUGAAGAGUUUGAUCAUGGCUCAGAUUGAACGCUGGCGGCAGGCCUAACACAUGCAAGUCGAACGGUAACAGGAAGCAGCUUGCUGCUUUGCUGACGAGUGGCGGACGGGUGAGUAAUGUCUGGGAAACUGCCUGAUGGAGGGGGAUAACUACUGGAAACGGUGGCUAAUACCGCAUAACGUCGCAAGACCAAAGAGGGGGACCUUCGGGCCUCUUGCCAUCAGAUGUGCCCAGAUGGGAUUAGCUAGUUGGUGAGGUAACGGCUCACCAAGGCGACGAUCCCUAGCUGGUCUGAGAGGAUGACCAGCCACACUGGAACUGAGACACGGUCCAGACUCCUACGGGAGGCAGCAGUGGGGAAUAUUGCACAAUGGGCGCAAGCCUGAUGCAGCCAUGCCGCGUGUAUGAAGAAGGCCUUAGGGUUGUAAAGUACUUUCAGCGGGGAGGAAGGUGUUGUGGUUAAUAACCGCAGCAAUUGACGUUACCCGCAGAAGAAGCACCGGCUAACUCCGUGCCAGCAGCCGCGGUAAUACGGAGGGUGCAAGCGUUAAUCGGAAUUACUGGGCGUAAAGCGCACGCAGGCGGUCUGUCAAGUCGGAUGUGAAAUCCCCGGGCUCAACCUGGGAACUGCAUUCGAAACUGGCAGGCUUGAGUCUUGUAGAGGGGGGUAGAAUUCCAGGUGUAGCGGUGAAAUGCGUAGAGAUCUGGAGGAAUACCGGUGGCGAAGGCGGCCCCCUGGACAAAGACUGACGCUCAGGUGCGAAAGCGUGGGGAGCAAACAGGAUUAGAUACCCUGGUAGUCCACGCCGUAAACGAUGUCUACUUGGAGGUUGUGCCCUUGAGGCGUGGCUUCCGGAGCUAACGCGUUAAGUAGACCGCCUGGGGAGUACGGCCGCAAGGUUAAAACUCAAAUGAAUUGACGGGGGCCCGCACAAGCGGUGGAGCAUGUGGUUUAAUUCGAUGCAACGCGAAGAACCUUACCUGGUCUUGACAUCCACAGAACUUUCCAGAGAUGGAUUGGUGCCUUCGGGAACUGUGAGACAGGUGCUGCAUGGCUGUCGUCAGCUCGUGUUGUGAAAUGUUGGGUUAAGUCCCGCAACGAGCGCAACCCUUAUCCUUUGUUGCCAGCGAUUAGGUCGGGAACUCAAAGGAGACUGCCAGUGAUAAACUGGAGGAAGGUGGGGAUGACGUCAAGUCAUCAUGGCCCUUACGACCAGGGCUACACACGUGCUACAAUGGCGCAUACAAAGAGAAGCGACCUCGCGAGAGCAAGCGGACCUCAUAAAGUGCGUCGUAGUCCGGAUUGGAGUCUGCAACUCGACUCCAUGAAGUCGGAAUCGCUAGUAAUCGUGGAUCAGAAUGCCACGGUGAAUACGUUCCCGGGCCUUGUACACACCGCCCGUCACACCAUGGGAGUGGGUUGCAAAAGAAGUAGGUAGCUUAACCUUCGGGAGGGCGCUUACCACUUUGUGAUUCAUGACUGGGGUGAAGUCGUAACAAGGUAACCGUAGGGGAACCUGCGGUUGGAUCACCUCCUUACCUUAAAGAA
rnacentral:rRNA from 2 species